CUGCGCUCUCCAGCCUUUGCUAUCAACACCCUGUCGUCUCUUUUUAGUGUACCCACUGAGUGCGCAUUUUAAAAAAACAUUUCAACGGGACAUUUCUUCUCUUUUCUCUUUCAAUACAGUGUACAUCACAACACGGAGCGCUAGCCCAGCGUGGAUAACCUGCCUACAGCUUUGACGAGGGAGGUAGAGAAAAACGGCCGAGAGAGAACAUAAAUCUGCAGACUGGGAAACAGAAAAAGCAGAGCUGGCUACAAAGCCGGGGUAAUAGUAAAAAGAAAAAUGCCAGAAAACUUUCCACACCGUGAACUUCACAGGACAGAGAGGUGGGCCUGGGUGUGGGUUAUGUGCCUGUCACCGGGCUGGGGACAGAGGAGGCGGAUGAAGAAGACCCAGUGCCAGUCUUGGGGUGGCUCGGGGCCUGCUGAGCAGUGUCAAAGACAAUGUGACAAACAGGAACAAAUGAUUAAGAUACAGUUGACAGCUGCAAUCCAGAAUCCGAGAGGUACCAGGGAGAGGCAGUCCCAGCAGGCACUGGCAAUCGGAGUCUGAGAAGAAUGUGGGAACACUGGUGCCAGCCUUGUCCAAGCAAAACAGACGAACUGAGGACUACACCAGGUAGGGGAGUAGACAUCUGUUCAUGCCCCAAACUUCCUGGGUGCCAGGGAGGUGACUGCUGAUGGGACAAACCCAGAGGAACACAGGGCCUGGAAAGCAGAUCCGGAGUCAGCAAGGGAAGGUUCUACGAUGCUAAGAGAGGUGCGGUGGUCACAUUCAGCAUGGCUCUGCAGGCUUCUCAGCUGCCCACAUGGCCCUGAGCAUGAGAAGGAGGUGACUGGUGCUUCAUGUUGGCAACAGGCCUGUCUGGAACUUUCCUUCCGCGGCUGUGGUAGGAAGCUGAUACGAGAUGAUGCAGGUCUCAACGUGAACACUGGUUUGGGGCUGACAAAAUCUGAUUGUCUUGUGUAUAAAGCACAGAUGCAUGUGCACUUUUCAUUUUAGUGGGGGAGGAGGAGGUCAGGAAAACUGAAUGUCUGCAGGAUCUAGAGUUCACCUAGCAGCCCCUAUGUGGGUAGGGCUUUGCUGACUCCGUAUUAGGACAAGUGACACUGCAGUUCACCCCGCUGCAAGUUGUGGGGCAGGGCCUGGAUGCCCCAAGUCCCACACUCUUCCAGAAGAAAAUAUGUCUUCUAGGAGCUUGUUAUGGUUUGUGUCUGGAUGUCCUCCCCAAAGCCUCAUGAAUUCUUGGGAAGUGGGCUUUUCAGAGGUGGCUGAAUCUAGAGUUUCUGAUGGAUUCAUGCUCCAAUGCUGGGAUUAAGGGAGUGAGGGCUAUACUAGGGUGGGUAGCCUGCAUACAAUAUAAGGGAUAGGCAGAGAAUUGCCUCUUCCUUUUCCUUGUUGCUUUUGCUGUCUCCUACCUUCAUGAAUGGUUGCCCUCUGCCAUGUGGCACCCUGCCUUGGAGCCAGCCUAUUAUGGUCUGAAACCUCUACAAACUGUGAGUUAAUAAACCUUUCCUCCUUUAACCUUGGAUGUCGGGUACUUUGUCUCAGCCAUGAGAAAAGUAACUAAGACAGAGCCAGUGUCUUCUCAGGAAGCCUUCUGAUGUCCCAAGGGCUCCAGAGUACCCCUUCCCCAUACACCUGGGGACUUGGUUGCAAGCACACCUGAGACCUCCUAUUUGUGUAAUUAGUGUUCACGAGUCUUUAUAUGAGGCUAGAGGAAGUAGGCUGGCAGAACAAAGCACUAUGGGGGAUAUAAAGGUGAGCAAGGAAGAAAGGCAAGGAGCAGGAUAACAACCAGGCUUGCUAAUACAGGUUUCUUGGCUGGUGAAGGACAAUGAGCUCCAGUUCUGUCCCUUACCCUGGGCAACCUGGGUAAGUUGCUGAACCUUUCUGAGCCCCUGGUUCCUCAUGCGGGAGAAGGGUGUCAGGACUAGUGAGAUUGUCUGUGAGCAUGGACCUGCCAGUCUAGAGGAGAUGCCUGUGUCUCCAUGCCUGCUUUUCCAUACUCUAAUCAGAUGGUUUCCUUUUCCCAGAUGUUCUGUCUUAGUCAGUUUUUGGUUCCUGUAACAAGAUCCUGGAGACCAGAAAAUGCAUAAAGAAUUGAAAUGUAUUUGACUCACGGUCAUGGAGGCGGGGGAGUCCCAGUGUAUGGUGUAGAUGAGGGUCAGCAUGCUGAGUCAUAACAUGGUGGAGGGCAUCACAUGGUAAGAUGGUGCAUUAAUGCUAGCUUGAGUCUUCCUCUUCUUAUAAAGCCACUAAUACAGACACAGGGGCCCCGUCCUCAUAAUCUCACCUAAUCCUAAUCACCUCCCAAAGGCCCCACCUCCAAAUAGUAGGGAUGUAUGGAUUUGGGGAUAAAGUUUCUAACACAUGAACUUUGGGGUGAGAGAGAGACGUUCAAACCGUAGCAAGUUCCCUUCUUCAUUCUAAUGCUUACUGUGUCCCUAACAACUCACAGAGGUGUGGGGGUGGGGCAAAUUCAGCUGAGCCUCAAUAAAAUAUUUUCAAAUAGAUCUGUUGUCUGUAGCGUUCACAAAGGCUGACUGGGACCGCACAACUACUAGCUGAUUAAGAAAUCCAAGGAGAAUGGGCCCUAUCUUGCUCCUACCCAGCUUCCCUGCUCUAAGAGCCCCUGUUUGCAUACAAUUGAUGUAAUCAUUCUUAAUUAUUCUUCCUUACUCAUUAAAGCACAUCUCUUAAAAAUUCUUAUUCAAUUAUACUUUUUUGUUUUUUGUUUUUGGAUUUUUUGAAGUGGGGGUCUCACUAUGCAGUUUCAGGCUGGCCUUGAACUCACUACGUAGACUUGAACUCUCAGUAAUCCUCUUGCCUCAGCCUCCUGAGUGCUGGCUUCAAUUAUGCUUUUUUAGCCUAGUCCUUUUUACCCUACACACUUGAAUAUAAUUGGUUUUCUUGAUGUGGAGGAAACAAAUAGAUUCCUCUUAUACAGCAAAACCUCACAGAUAUAUAGUGUCAGCAAAGCAUAUCCCUCACACAUACAGUAGGACAGAAAGGGGGUCCAUGCCCAGCCUGCAAGAUAUGAUGUUUUCACACUUACUAUAUGCACCUUCAAAACUGAAGGCCUACUGUGUGCUUGUACUCUGUGAAUAUUGAAGGACAUAAAUAUUUUACUGGAAAACUUCUUAGCAUGUUUUGGGUAUGUGAUUCUUGGGUAUGUGAUUCUUUUUCAACUGGAAAUUUUAUAAACUGCCAACUACAGAUAAAAUAUCUCUGAUGAAAAUUUUGUGCUACAAGCAUCGAGACCCUGGUAAAGACCUCUCCUGUUUGGUGCUGUGAUGCAAGGAUGCAAGGAAAAACUCAGAGACAAGAUAAAAAUAAAACCAGGAGCUGGGAUGGGCAGUGCUGAGCCAGCAAAGACCCCAAGCCAGCCAGUUGCAUGGCAUGUAGUGAUUGUACAAUCUAUAGAAUGGGGUGAGAGGCCACAUGUGGUUGCUGGGAAUAAGACCCUGCCACAGGCAGGACUUAUAAAGGAGGGAACAAAACAUCCUUGUAUCAAGAACAGAAGAGACCAGGAAUAGAUCAUGGUUAAUGAAUAACUCAUUUUUCAAGUAGAAUAAACUAUGGUUCUGGGAAGGAAUUUGGGAAGAGUCACUUGUCUCUGGCUGCCAUGUUGUCUUAUAUCAGAGCUCCCAGCUUCACAGACCGUAUCUCUGGUCUCUGCUGUGGCCAUUGGUGUGUGUGUGGGGGAGGAUGCUAAUCUGUGGGUCAUCUACAGUGCUGUUGUGACUCACAUGGGCUUCAACCUGACUCACUUUUUAAAACAAACCAAGUGUGGGUUAACUCUUUAUAGCCUUCACUGUUGACAGCCUGCUCUGGGCAUAAUCAAUGGGG
rnacentral:lncRNA from 1 species